ensembl:snRNA U6 U6 spliceosomal RNA
GUGCUCACUUUGACAACGCAUAAUUAGAAGGAUACAGAGAACAUUAACAUGGCUUCUGUGUAAGGAUAACACACAGAAAAUCAGAUUUACCUUGCUAAAAUUAA